AUAAAGAUGUUGAUGGAAACUAGUAGGGUAAGAAAACUAAAAGGAAGUUACCGGCACUGACUGAGAACGGUAAUUAGUUGUUUUAUCUGAAUUUCACUUCCGAAGUUGACACAAUUGUGUCCGGUCGACAGCCGUUAAAAAGUUUUUUGAGUGUGCAGAUUAUCUGCAAACUAGGGUGGUACCGCGAAGCUUCGUCCCUUUU
rnacentral:ncRNA from 1 species